CUGUUUUCUGUUUUCUGCCUUCUGUGUUUAAUAGGAAAAUAAAUCGGAUCGUGCUCGAAUUUCACACAAUAUUUUGUUUACACAGAAAAUAACAGCUGAAACUAUAUAUAUAUUAUGUGUCGUAAUCGCUUGUACAGUUUUUCGACAGGACAUUAUUAAGUAAACCAUGUCAUGUUAGAAUAUGGAAAUGUCUAGAUGUCUUGUAACCAAUGCCUAGCCAGAGUUCUAGCUGUGAGGUAACCAGAUGUAUCUAGCACAUCCUUAAUGAACAAGUUAUUGUGAGAUAGUCUGAUUACUUUGGAGCUGCCAGAUUGUGUAUGAAAUCCUGAACAAAUUAUUUCAACAACUUUUUCAUGAACCACAGAAACUUCACCUUACCAAAUUGUAGGACCAGACAUUGUGAGAAAGUUUGAUUGCAUUCACUGCCAGAGCUAAAGCUAGAAAAGAAACUAAACAACUUCUUCUCAUGAUCUGCUUAAUUGAUCUUCACAUUGAAUUGUCAACCUGUAUGCUACAUUGUAAAAUGACGUUGAGCAAAUAAAGAUACUGCAGUCAGCGUUACAACCUUCAUUAAACAGAAUGAAUUGGUGUUACAGAAAUGGAUAACAUAUGGAGACAAACACUUUCAGGCUACAGAAACUACACUAUGAGACUAUGAAAAUGGCUUAUUUUCAUGAUGGAACUCAUACCACAAAGAAAGAACUUGCUUUAUCUUGUUUCUUAUAACUAGUCCUCAAAGACAUACCCAAGUAAACUACAACAGGAAUGAAAGCAAACAAAGUUGAUUCAGGAUUUAGAAUUGAAUGUUUUUGUGUCAACAGUGUGUGAAAACUGCGGAAAAUAGGAUUUUAAUUUCAAGGAUUUGAUUUAGUAUGUCAAGGAGUGAUUUGUUUUUAAUUCAUCACACAAAUUAUUGACACUGCUCUAAAAUAUAAAUAUGAAGUUUAAAUACAGACUUUCAUACCUAACUAAAAUAAUGUUGAACUCAACAGAAUAAACAAACUACCAUCUGUUGUAUAAUAUAUUAGUUGAUUUAUCAAACUUUGUCAGUUUUGUUACAUUACUUAUCAUUGAUAGAAUCUAUUAUCUAAUAACUCUUUACAGUGUGUCAAGUACUCAUCAUUAUAAGCCAUUUUGAAAUAAUUACAGGACUGAUAUUUUACUGGUAUUAGUUAAAUGUGUUGUUAUUAGACCCCUUAUAUUUGAAAGUGAGUUUUCUUUAUACAUACAGGAUUCUGCUAUUCCGUCUGUCGGCUAGUCCAGUCUGUCAGAUCUUUGUCCAGAAAUUACAUUUGAAAUAAAAUAUAGCAUCAUUUUCA
rnacentral:lncRNA from 1 species